CCUUCCUCUCUCGCCUGCAUCCUCUAACUAAAGCGCUGUCGUCCCGCGUUUCUUCCCACUGCACGUGCACUAGGAGUAUAGAGCAUUGAAAAAAAAUAAUAAAAAGCUCAGGUCGACCCUGCCUAACUGGCAACCUCACAGAUGUUUGUGUUAGCUCAGGGGAAUGGAUAACAGAAGAACAGGAACACAAAAAUAGAUGCAGAUAAUCAGUGCGUAAUGGGUCAGAGUCCAGAUGGAUCUGACAGAUGGGAACCUGGAACAGGAGAGAAGCUGUGAUUAUGUUCUCAACUGCAAGCACCUUGGUGGAAAAGUCUCCAAGAUUCUUACUGAAUGCGUAAGAUUUAACAGGAGUACCUUUUCUUCUAGCCUACCUAUAGGAGUUUUCAACUUGUUCUUCUGCAUGUUGCUCCUGCUAAUAGAUGAAUAAUUCAGUACCCAGCUUUCAUGGUAGCUCAGAGUACUGUUCCCUAAUACUGUGAAUGAAGGAAUAUAAGUAUCCAUCUUACAGACAGAAGGAAAUGCAUUUAAAAAGAAAGGUCAUACAGGGUUUUAAAAAAGUUUCUUCAAUAGUUUUUCUAACUUAAGGGCUUGAUUAUGUAUGUACCAGCCCUAACUGUUUGAAAAGGUGAUUUUCUGGGACUCUGUUUGAGAGGGCACUUUUUGGGGAGCAUAGUAAUGAAUAGCACAUACUCACCCUGAACUAUGAAGCUACUAUACAGUAAUUGUUGUAUGUGAAACUAUGCAAAUACAAAGGUAAAUUCAAGCCAGUAUAGUGACUCCUUCAUGAUGGCAAAUAUUUCUGUCUCUAGAUGGCAAGAAUAUAAAGCUCUGGCAAUUAACAGGUUCAGCAGACCUGUUAAAUUUCCUGAGAGCCUUUGCACUGUAAAAGAAGACAUUUGGAGAAUGUAUGGCAAAUCUAGCAAUAAGAUCCCCUGAUUUAUUGGCUUCUCCCAGCCAACUCCAGAAGAUAAAAUUGCUAAGGAACUAUUAUUGGAUUCUAAAGAGAAACUGUUGAAGAGGAGGAGGCCACAACAUGAUUGCCCUUUUUCCUGGGAGAUGCUGUCACUACCAUUAUGGAUUUCCUGGAUUGCUCUGUGGGUGAGCCUGGUUAAUUAGUUACCACCUCAAACCCUUAAUAGGAAGGACUAGGAUAGUAUAUAGCUUGUCCCACAUUCUUAAUCUUCAGGGUCAGUUGAAAAAUUUGGAAUAAUCUGACAAAUGACAAAAGUAACAAAUUUACUGAAAAUGACAACUGUUCCACAUUUAUAUCCUAGCUUCAGUCUCCUGAAGGUCUUUGUGACUGAUGUGACAUGAUCAGUGUAAAGCAUGCUGAGUUUUCCUACAGAUUAGUAAUUAAAUAGCCUAGAUAUAGGGUGCAUGAAGCAUUAGUCUGAAUCUA